rnacentral:tRNA from 1 species
CAAGACUAAGCAUUAAGCUAGGCUCUAGAUUCUAGGGCCUGAUUCUCGCAGCUGCGCCUUUUGUAGCGUCCUAGCA